rnacentral:rRNA from 1 species
ACGAACGCUGGCGGCGUGCCUAAUACAUGCAAGUUGAGCGCUGAAGGUUGGUACUUGUACCAACUGGAUGAGCAGCGAACGGGUGAGUAACGCGCGGGGAAUCUGCCUUUGAGCGGGGGACAACAUUUGGAAACGAAUGCUAAUACCGCAUAAAAACUUUAAACACAAGUUUUAAGUUUGAAAGAUGCAAUUGCAUCACUCAAAGAUGAUCCCGCGUUGUAUUAGCUAGUUGGUGAGGUAAAGGCUCACCAAGGCGAUGAUACAUGGCCGACCUGAGAGGGUGAUCGGCCACAUUGGGACUGAGACACGGCCCAAACUCCUACGGGAGGCAGCAGUAGGGAAUCGUCGGCAAUGGACGAAAGUCUGACCGAGCAACGCCGCGGGAGUGAAGAAGGUUGUCGGAUCGUAAAACUCGGUUGGUAGAGAAGAACGUUGGUGAGAGUGGAAAGCUCAUCAAGUGACGGUAACUACCCAGAAAGGGACGGCUAACUACGUG